UUAACACAUGCAAGUCGAGGGGCAGCGUGGAGUAGCAAUACUCUGACGGCGACCGGCGAAAGGGUGAGUAACGCGUGAGCAACAUGCCCGGUAGAGGAGAAUAGUCGAUGGAAACGUCGCGUAAUACUCCGUAACAUAGGGGACCGCAUGAUUCUCUAUUAAUAGAUUUAUCGCUACCGGAUUGGCUCGCGUACCAUUAGCUAGUUGGCGGGGUAACGGCCCACCAAGGCGACGAUGGUUAGGGGUUCUGAGAGGAAGGUCCCCCACAUUGGAACUGAGACACGGUCCAGACUCCUACGGGAGGCAGCAGUGAGGAAUAUUGGACAAUGGCCGAGAGGCUGAUCCAGCCAUGCCGCGUGCGGGAAGACGGCCCUAUGGGUUGUAAACCGCUUUUGUUGGGGAGCAAUAAGGUCCACGUGUGGAUCGAUGAGAGUACCCAGCGAAUAAGCAUCGGCUAACUCCGUGCCAGCAGCCGCGGUAAUACGGAGGAUGCAAGCGUUAUCCGGAUUUAUUGGGUUUAAAGGGUGCGUAGGCGGAUGCCUAAGCGUGAGGUGAAAUCCCCGGGCUCAACCUGGGAACUGCCUCGCGAACUGGGUGUCUGGAAUGCCCCUGCCGUGGGAGGAAUGUGUGGUGUAGCGGUGAAAUGCAUAGAGAUCACACAGAACACCGAUUGCGAAGGCAUCUCACGAAGGGGUGAUUGACGCUGAGGCACGAAAGCGUGGGGAUCAAACAGGAUUAGAUACCCUGGUAGUCCACGCAGUAAACGAUGAUAACUAACCGCUGGGCAUUCGUGUUCAGUGGCCAAGCGAAAGCGAUAAGUUAUCCACCUGGGGAGUACGACCGCAAGGUUGAAACUCAAAGGAAUUGACGGGGGCCCGCACAAGCGGAGGAACAUGUGGUUUAAUUCGAUGAUACGCGAGGAACCUUACCCGGGCUCGAACGGCAAGUGAAGCGAUCCAGAGAUGGUGACGUCCUUCGGGACACUUGUCGAGGUGCUGCAUGGUUGUCGUCAGCUCGUGCCGUGAGUGUCGGCUCAGUGCCAUACGAGCGCAACCCUGUCGUCAGUACAGCAGUAGCGUGGGACUCUGGCGAGACUGCACGCAGGUGAAGAGGGGGAUGACGUCAAUCAGCACGUCCUACGUCGGGCGAACCACGUGUUACAUGGGGUACGAGGACUACUAUACGGAUGAUCUCGAAAGCUCCAGUCGAAUCGAUUCGCACUCGAUCCGUGAGCUGAUUCCAGUAUUGCGCAUAUCA
rnacentral:rRNA from 1 species